CAUUACUUUCAUGAUCUGUCUGAGUCUUACCCAGCAGUAGAAACCUGAAUUUUUAAAAAUCCACAUCAACAAAAAAAAUGAGCCGAAAAGCCAAAAACCACACGGAGGGUAUUAGUUUCCUUUGUAGUUAAGAAAUGUUCCCCUUUCUCAGGAUACGCGACAAGAAACUGGGAAGCUUCUGAAGCACCAUAGAAACUAGCUAGAAGGAAUGCUUGUUUUAGGCUGCAGUGGACAAAUGGGCGCUUGUUGCUAGAGAGAUGCUGAUAAAUAUUUAAUAUAUCUGAAUGGUGUCCAGAAAUACUGUCAUACCUGUGUUGGGUUCUCUCAGGAAAAAGAAGAAUGGCCGAUCUGCUUUAAAAAAAGGAAUCCGAGACCUUUUCAGUAACAACAGAGCUGCAGGAGGGAAAGAAUAGGAGACUAUUACAUUUUUUAUUCAUUUGAGGGAAGUCACUAUUAAAAUUGGAGCCGAAGUCAGUUAUAUCCCUUGAUUUCUGAAGAAAUCAGAACAUCCUAAUGUAUUUGUGUAGUGUUAUGAUGGGGUACAAAUGGGAAAAUUAAAGAGAAAAGAUGCCACUUAGCAACCCUGUGUCCCAUUUUCAAAAUGUUCCAUGGAAUGAAUUCCUUACUGAAGGUAAUUUUCAGAAUGACUUCAUCCCUUGUUUAUGGGGAUGAUGGUACAAAUCCUUUUCAAACUGGAUUUCUCUUCUCUCGCCAUUUUUCAAACUCUGUGUGUUAACCUUCCUUUUUAAAAAAUGCUAUACCACAUAUACCACAUCUGGACUUGGGGUUUUGAGUGGGAAAGUUUAGAAAUGUGGAGAUUGAACUGGAUAAACCUAACAAAGGCAUAGAAGGGCAAGAGGUGUGACUUGAGCACUGCUGACCCCUUGAUGAACAUACCGGUGGCUGUAGACGCCUUGCUGCCUUCCUCGGAAACCUCAAUCUUGGCUUUGUGGAUCGCUUCAGAAACAUAAAAGCCAUCUUGGCCUAAUCCCAAGAAAUAAAAAUGUGAAUUGCUUAUUUCCAUUUUUAAUGCAUUUGGCUUAAGGAUUUGAGUGUACUUUUAAAGAACGCACUUAAUGACAGUCUCAUGCUGCUUACUAUAGCUAGGGAGAGAUUUGUUUGGAAAAUUCUGAAGCUGCGAUUUUUUAUGUAACUUUCAAAACCUCUGAUUUGGUGAGUUUGAUAAAUAACCCCUCCCAAAUUAAUAUUUAGAGCUGGGCCCUGUUUUUUCAAUGUUAAUUUUCCCAAGUAACUUGUAGUUAAUACUGAAAUCCUCAGCCAGUAUUUUCACCAGAGGAUGUGUCAAAAUGCAGAUUCUGGAGUCCAAGAAUCCUUUUUCAGCCGGCUUCUGAGAUGGUUUCCCUUGAAUGCUUUCUUGGACUGCAUUUUCAGAGCCACUUUUAAAUGACAGUUACAGGAGAAGCAAAUGAAUGUCGUGAGAGCAUAAAACCAGCCGAGUAUAGGAUGUGCAGCAGGUUCAUCCAUCUUCUAAAUAAGGAGUGGCCCGAUAAUUGACAGUUACAUGUUGGCACAGCCAAGAUCCGUGGCCUGUCUUGCCCCAGCAUCCACACCUCUCUUAAAUUAUAUCUCUGGUGAAAAAACUGACGCCUAAAGAGAUUAAGACACUUGCCCGAGAUGACAUAAAGAGUACGUGGUGGAGCUCAACUCAAAGCAAGGCUGUUUGAGUGCAAAGCCUGUGCCCUUGGCAUCUACACUUUGCUACCUCCUGUCUCCUGAGGCAUCUCACAUAGUAGGUGCAGAAAAGAAGUUGUUGACUAAUCAACAACUAAUAGAGUGUCUCAUUUAACAUAUUUAUAUUUGAUAAGACAUAUUUUUCUGUUUGCUGCGUGCAGUGUGUGUCUUUGAUGCACAGGAGGGAAGGAAUGCAAGUUAAAGUUUUGGUUUUCCUAAUAAGUCCUGAGAGCAGGAAGAAUCAACACACCAACUUUGUAAUAUUUCUCCAAGGGCCAGGCAUUUGCAAUUUUACUGUUCAAGGAGGCUUUAAAAGGAUUGCUCACAUUAUUUUUCUUUGAAAAUAAAAAAGUUUGAAAUGGCAUUUAGACGGUCUUUUUGUAUAAACUCUCCAGAACUUGUACAAGAGUAAAAAUACUGGAAAAGACCAUUUACUAUUAAAGGUUUUCAUUGCCAUACAAGACAAUGUGCCCAAUAUUUUAAACAGAAGUAUCAGAUUUUCCCAUAAAUAUAUGUUUUGGAUCUUUAGAACGGUUUCCCAAAAAGAUACAUAUGCUUUCUCCAACUAUGCUGACAUUCUCAAAACAAUUUUGCAUUACCUCUUCUGAAAUUUUCAUAAAUGCUUAAAACACAUUCUUUUUGAAAACUCUUAAUACUGAAACACAGUGGUUAAGAGCAUGAACUUGGGAGUUCAUUGCCAGGGUUUGAAUCCCAGCUCAGCCUCUUACUAGCUGAGUGACCUGGGGUAAGUUACUUUACCUCUCUUUAGCCUCGGUUUCCUCAUUUGUGAAAUGAGCAUAAUAGUAGUGCUUAGUUCUUAGCUUUGUGAAAAUUAAGCAAAAUAAUUCUUAUAAAGUGCUUAGAACAAUGCCCAGUACAGCUCAUACACUUCAAUGCUACCAUUGUGGUUUUCGUGUUUCUCAGGAAUAUUAAGAAAAAGCUAAGGGAUAUUGGAAGCCAAAUAUGGUGAUUAUGGUAGUUGAUAAAACUGGGUAAUAUCAUUUUUAGUAACUAAAGGUAAUAGUGAGGUAUGACCCUAAAAGGCGAGAGUAAUUUUUUUUAAGUUUAUUUAUUUAUUUUGAAGAGAGACAGAGAGAGAGAGAGACUGCGCAAGUCGGGGAGGGGCAGAGAGACAGGGAGAGAGAGAAUCCCAAGCAUUAUCUGUGCUGUCAGCUCAGAGCCCGACAUGGGGCUUGAACUCAUGAACCGUGAGAUCAUGACCUGAGCCAAAAUCAAGAGUCAGACGCCCAACCAAAUGAGUCACCCAGGCACCCAAUUUUUUUCUUAUAUGGCUAUGAAGGCCAGCCCAGAAGAAAUGUUUCAAAAAUAUCUUGAGUGGAAAAAUUGCCCUUUACCAAAACCAGACAAUGAUAUCAUGAGAAAAGAAAACUAGACAAAUAUCCCUUAUGAAUAAAGAUGCAAAAUCCUCAACAAAUACUAGCAAAUUGAAUCCAGCAAUAUAUAAAUCCCAUCAUGACCAAGUGAGAUUUAUCCCAGGAAUGCAAGGUGGGUUUAACAUAUGAAAAUCAAUGUCAAACACCGUAUUAACAGAAUAAAGGACAAAGGUCACAUGAUCAUCUCAAUAAAUGCAGAAAAGCGUGUAAAAAAAGCCAACACUCUGUCAUGAAAACAAAAAUCACUCAGUAAACUUGGGAUAUAAGAGAACUUUUUCAACCUUAAAAAGGGUCUCCACAGAAAACCCACAGCUUGCAUCAUACUGAAUGGUAAUGGUAAAAGACUGAACGCUUUCCUCCUAAGAUCAGGAAUCAGACCAGGAUGUUCACCACUUUUAUUUAACAUCGUAAUGAUAGGUGUGCAGGGCAAUUAUGCCAGAAAAAGAAAUAAAAUGCGUCCAGAUUAGAAAGGAAGAAGUAAACCUAUCUCUAUUCACAGAUGACUUGGUCUUGUAUAUAGAAAAUCUUAAGGAAUAUAUACACGCAGAGGAAAAACUACUAGAACUAAUAAAUGAUUUUGCCAAGGUGACAGGAUGUGAGAUAAAGGUACAAAAAAUCAAUGGCUUUUUUUUAUAUUAGCAAUGAACAGUCUGAAAAUAAAAUCCCAUUGAUAACAGCAUCAAAAGGAAUAAAAUACUUAGGGUUUUAACAAAAGAAAUGCAAAACUUGUAUACUGAAAACUAAAAGCUAAAAAACAUAAUUGAAAGAAACUGAAGAAAACAUCAAUAAAGUGAAAAACAUCCCGUGUACAGAUUGCGACAGCUAAUAUUGUCAGAAAGCAAUAUUCCCAAACUGAUCUACAGAGUAAAUAUCAUCAUCAUCAAAAGUUCAGCUGCCUUUUUGGCCAAAACUGAUAACCUGAUCCUAAAAUUCCUAUGAAAAUGUAUGGAACCCAGAAUAGCCAAAUAAUUCUUGAAAAAAGAAGAACAAAGUUGAAGCACUAACAUAUCCUGAUUUCUAAACAUUAUAGUAAUCAAGACUGAAUAAUACUGAGUAAAUUGUAGACAUUUAUGCCUAUAGAAUAGAAUUGAAAGUCUAAAAAUAAACCCAUUCAUUUAUGGUCAAUGAAUUUCAAGAAAGGUACCAAGAAAAUUCAAUGGAAAAACAAAUAGUCGUUUCAAUAAAUGGUGCUGGGACACAGCAAUUGCCCUUCUAGGUAUUUACCCAAAGGAUACAAUAAUACAGAUUCAAAGGGGUAUAUGCCCCCUGAUGUUUAUAGCAGCAUUAUCAACAACAGCCAAACUAUGGAGAGAGCCCAAAUGUCCAUCGACUGAUGAAUGGAUAAAGAAUAUUAUGGUUUAUACCCAUAGACACACACACACACACACACACACACACACACACACACUGGAAUAUUACUCAGCCAUCAAAAAGAAUGAAAUCUUGCCAUUUGCAAUGAUGGGGAUGGAACUAGAGUGUAUUACACUAAGUGAAAUAAGUCAGUCAAAGAAAGGCAAAUACCAUAUGAUUUCACUCAUAUGUGGAAUUUAAAAAACAAAACAUGACAUUAGGGGAAGGGAAGGAAAAAUAAAAUAAGAUAAAAACAGAGAGAGAGGCAAACUAUAAGAGACUCUUAGAGAACAAAGUGAGGGUUCCUAGAGGGGAGGUGGGUGGGGGGAUGGGCUAAAUGGGGUGAUACACAAUAAGGAGAGCACUUGUUGGGAUGAACAUUGGGUAUUAUAUGUAAGUGAUGAAUCACCAAAUUCUCCUCCUGAAACCAAUACUACACUACACGUUAACUAACUUGAAUUUAAAUAAAAUCUUGGAAGAAAAAAAAUCAUGCUGGGACAACUGGAUAACCACAUGCAAAGAAUGAAAUUGGACCUCUGCCUCAUUAUACAUACAAAAAUUAAUUCAAAAUGAGUCAGAGACUUAAAUAUAAGAGCUAAGACUAUAAAAAUGCUAGAAAAACACAGACAUAGAUCUUUGUGAUCUUGGUUAAACAAUGGUUUCUUAGCUACGACAUUAAAAGAAGCAUAAGAAACAAAAGAAAAAAUAAAUUAACUGGACUUCAUUAAAAUUAAAAGCUUUUGUACUUCAAAGGACAUCCUCAAUGGUUAUAGUGGAAGAGAGCCAAAGCAUAAGAGACUCUUAAAAACUGAGAACAAACUGAGGGUUGAUGGGGGGUGGAAGGGAGGGGAGGGUGGGUGAUGGGUCUUGAGGAGGGCACCUUUUGGGAUAAGUACUGGGUGUUGUAUGGAAACCAAUUUGACAAUAAACUUCAUAUAUUGAAAAAAAAACAAAGGACACCCUCAAUAAAGUAAAAAGACGAUCCAUGAAAUGGGAGAAAAUAUUUGCAAAUUAUAUAUCUGAUAAAGGACUAAUAACCAGAAUAUAUAAAGCACCAUGACAACUCAACAAUAAAAAGACAACCUAUUUAAAAAUGGAGAAAAGAUUCAAAUAGAUAUUUCUUCAAAAGAGAUAUGUAAAUGUUCAACAAGCACAUGACAAUAUGCUUGACGUCAUGGGUCAUUAGAGAAAUGCAAAUGGAAGUCACAAUGAGAAACCACCUCACACCAACUAGGAUGGCUACAAUAAAAAAGAUGGGGGUUUUCUUCUCCUGUGGUUGUUGCUACUGUUGUGGGGUUAGAUAGGUUGCAUCCAUCUUGCCUCCAGCCUGACCAAGAAGCCAAAACACAGAGGAUGGCAUUGCUGGAGGGCAGAGGAGGCGAUGUCUUCCCAGGUAAUGUAACUAAGAAUAACUAUAUACUUCCUAAAUGUAAGCUUUAUAACAACGCUACUUUUUAACCCAAAUUUGGGAAGCCAGUCUUUGUCUUCUCCCCACCUUCUUUCCCUCCACAAUUCAAAACAAGAAUGUAGUAAAAUAUACACAACAUAACCAUUUUAAGUGCAUAAUUCAAUGGCCUUAAGAAUAUCCACAUUGCUGUCCAACCACCACUGUUAUCUUUCCACCAUUCUGGAACUCUUUCAUCACACCAAACUGAAAGUCUGUACCAUUAACCAUGAAGAGGGACUUAUGAAAAAAAAUGAACAAUAACAAGUGUUGACAAGGGUAUGGAGAAACUGGAACCUCUUGGAUUGCUGGUGGGAAUGUAAAAUGGUGCAGCCCCUUGGAAAACUGUCUGUAGGUCCUCAAAAUGUAAAGUGUAGAGUUAACACAUGACCCAGGAUUUUCAUUCCUAGGUAUAUAACCAAGAUCAUUGAAAAUAUAUAUCAUAAAAAAGUGUGCACAUGAAAAUUUUAUAGGACCCAAAAAGUGAAAACAAGCAAAAAGUUUCCAGGCUCUUAAAUGUCUAUAAACUGAUUAAUGGAUAAGUAGAAUGUAGUAUAUUCAUACAAUGGAAAAUUAUUCAGCCAUAAAAAAGAAUGAAGUAUUGAUACAUACUCUGACAAGGACGGACCUUGACGACAUCGUGCUAAGUGAGAACAGCUAGACACAGAAGGGCUACAUGUGGUAUGAUUUCAUUUAUGUGAAAGGUAGAGUAGUAUAGACAAAUCCACUGAGAGAAAGUAGAUUAGUGGUUGCCUAGGAGUAGUGAGGAGAAGGAAUGUGGAGUGACUGCUAAUGGGUAUGGAGUUUCUUUUUGAGGUGAUGAAAAUGUUCUGGAAUUUGAUAGUCGUGAUGGUUGCACAACUUUGCCAAUAUACUAAAAACCUCUGAACUGUACACUUUAAAACAAUUUUAUGGUUAUGUGAAUUGUACCUUCGUUUAAAAAAAAAAAAAAAGAAAAUACCCAUAGAAAAGCACAAUCCACACAUGACGAUGAUCAGUAGCUCUUGGAAAGGAAGCCCAAAACUUCUGCAUAUAUGAGAUCUGAUGGAUUUUUAAGAUACUUAGAAACAAACAAACAAAGAGAAAAAGAGACACGCCCAAA